UAUCAAACAUUACUAUUCACAAUUCAUUUCAACUUCCACUUCCACAGAAAAUUAAAAACGCACAAAAACUAAAUUCCGAAAAUUACGCACCAUACUAAACUAGAAUUUUAAAACAAAGGGUAAUUAGCACAAAACGUCCCUACCUUUCAAGGUUUUUGUGGAAAAUGUCCAAACCUUUCGUUUUUUGACAAUUUCACCCUCACUUUUGCCUUUUAUUGCGGAAAACAUCCUUCCGUCUAUAUACUGUUAAAAUGCUCCGUUAAAUCAAAUAAAAUGGGAUUUUUAUUUUCAAAAGAGAAGGGUAAGAUUGUCCAAAAAUUGAUUGAUAAAAGCAGAAGAAAUACAAAAACAGUAUCUACUAGAAGCUCCUAAUUUAUCUUGCCAGUACUCCGGCCGAAGUUGGAAUUGAUUUCGGAAAGCCACACGUAAUUUCUAAUAUUGAUUUCAAAAAGUGGAAUCUGUUUGGCAAGUUGGGAAUUAGUUAGGAAUUUUGUUGCAUUUUAGUUUAUUGUGAUGUAAAUAUAUACAACAUGAGGAAAUAUUCUUGUAAGUAUUGCCUAUAUAUAC
rnacentral:lncRNA from 1 species